AUUUAGGUGGUUAUAGCACGAGGGUUCCACCUCUUCCCAUUCCGAACAGAGAAGUUAAGCCUCGUCACGCCGAUGGUACUGCGUAACAGUGGGAGAGUAGGUAGCCGCCGUUUUAA
rnacentral:rRNA from 1 species